AAGCCGGCAUGUGGGCGGUGAGAGGUUUUAUUCUGGUUACAGGACAGGCGUUGACAAAGCCCCGGACAUUCCAGUGAUGGCCACCAGAAGCGCCGUCGCAGGAAGUCCCGGGUCCUCUGAAUGCCGGGAUGGCAGGUGAGCCGGGAAGCAUGGCCCCACUGGAGCACGUCUGAACGGAGGUGUGACGGGACAAACAGGCGGUCAGGUGGACAGGAACUGGGAGCUGGCUGGUCCACAGUGGCGGUUCGUCUCCUGUGUCUCCCAGGGUAUGGAAGCGAUGAGGCAGGAGGCUGGGAUGAUGGUGGAAGGCUUGACCAUCUCAUUGGGACUGUAGAACUUCCCAUCUCUGCCAGAUCGUCUAUCGUUACUCAGAGAGCUGUCCCGCAACUCCAGAUCUGUUUCUCCAACACUGAUCCUUCCUGUUACCGAACCCUCCCCUGUCUGACCACCCGCCUGUUGUCGAGUCACUGCCGGCCUGUCUGCUCUCCUGUUUCCGGCUCCUCGCCUGCCUGCCCUCCUGAUAUCGCCCCUUAGCCUGCCCGACCACCCGCACGCCGACGAGCCCUUGCCUGCCUGGUCGCACACCAGUGAUCGAGUUCCCACCCGUCCGACUACCCGCCGGUUACGGUACCCCCAGUCUACCUGAUUGCCUGCCGGUCCCCAAACUCUUGCCUGUCCCCAUUUACUCUGCCUGCCCGAUCCUGAUCAUCGGUGCAAUCAAUAAACCUUUAAACUGCCCUGUCACCAUUGUCAGUCUGUGCACUUGGGUUCUGCCUAACCCCCCCCGUUACACUUUUAGCAUUGCUGUAUCACAAUGGUGACUUAUGCUGCUAACCAAACCUGGUCGGAAGGAGGUUAUCAGCUAAGACUUUGGGUUAGAUCGCCUACUUAAAGCGAAGAGCAGCUUCCUAGACCCUCCUUUGACAAUGUCGACACCAUUUGUAGGUGUUCCCAUGGACCUUGGAGCCCGUACCCUACAGGGGUCUCUCCGGAAACAGAGGGUCUUUCGGGACAGAUCUGAUCCCUUGGCAUUGCCUGAGAAUAUUCUUAUUGAGAGAUACAGGCAGUGUUGGGGAGUAACGCAAUACAUGUACCGGCCUUAAGUAACUGUAUUCCGUCACCGUUUCAAUUUAAAUAAUUGGUAUUUAGAAUAGUUACAUUGUUGAAAAUCAAUGGAUUACAUAAGGAUACUUAGCUAUUUCAAGAAUUUAUUCACUCUCUAGGGUGCUUUCACACCAGCAUUUAAACGAGCACUAAACAAGUUUGGUCCCUUGGUUCGGUACAUUUGCGCUGUUGUGAUUGCAACCACCUCACUUUGGUGCACACCAAAUAAGCCAGCCGAGACCUCCCUGAAGAGGUGGUCUCGGUUUGCAUCCAAACUAAUCCUGGUGCGGUUCGCUUGAGAUGUGAAAGCGAACACACCUCGGUCCGAUCCAGUUCUAAAAAGCAUACACCUCUUUGGACGUAACAGGCACCCACUUAGUCGUGCGCAUUAUGGAAAUUAUUGUUUGAUUUUUUGAACGGGCUCAAUGAUGAGGUUGAUUUCUUGGUCUCACAAUCGAUUUAUUUGAUCAUGUUUUCUGUAACAGCCAAAACACAUUCCGUUUCUGGCAACAGUUCGCAAUGAACGUCUUUCAUUCAGAACUCGCGAUACAUUCUCUUUCUUCAUAAAACACAACAGUACGAUCCCCUUGCGUGGUCACAUGACCUUACUGGAGGGAAACAUCGGCUAACCUACUACUACGCGCCAAUGAGUAGUCCGCAAACACAUCGAGUCUAACUUAAACAAACGGCAUAAUUAACCUUUACAUGUUAUAUUACAUUCUAUUAACUGAUAGCAUCAUUGUGCACAAAACUAACACCAGCUCACCUGUAACAGACUUUCCGUUUCUGGCAACAGUUCGCAAUGAACGUCUUUCAUUCAGUACUCGCGAUACAUUCUAUUUCUUCGAGCUCUGGUGAUACGUACCAUAGCGCUGCUGCCCCCUAGUGGAAUGGCUGGUGCAUUUACAACCAACCUAACAGAAACUGGUUGAACUCAGCAGAACUACUAACUAUCCUGAACUCAGGGUGCCGCAUUAACUCCAAGAUUAGGAGCACAUGCCGCCUUGAAAACAGGUUCGGAAGCUCUUACGUGUCUUCAUGUAAACCUUCCCUUCUUCCGAAAUAAGAAUGUUCAGGAAACGCCCCUCAGAAGUUCACAGGCUAUGAUAUUAAACUGGAAAAAACUGAUUGUUCGUGAGACUAGACUUCAUAACAACAACAAGGUUGGACGCCACCAGGGACUUUUUUGCGCUUCUUUGCUGAAUCAGAUGAAUCAGUUAUUAGAACUGCUUGCAAUGGUUGAACAUGAGCGAGAAUUUAUCAGGUGAUGUUUAUAAUUGUAAUCUAUAAUGUAUCAUAAUGCAAAUUUUAGAAUGGGUGUUAAGUUUGCCUCACUUGCUGCAAGUUCACUUUAGUCUAUCAAUGAAAUGAGCAGCCAUUGUUGUGACGUGAUCUCGGAGGACUCGGGUAGCUUUACCUCUGCACAAAACUCUGAGUCAAAACUCAGACCCAACAGAGUGGUCAAAGCACUUUCCUCCGAGCAUAAGGUCCGAACCUCCCGGAAACUCUGAGCAUUUUGAAGGCAGCAUCAUUGUCGGGCCGUCUGGAGAAAAGCUGUCCUGGCUCAACAUGGAGCAAAGAGGAGACAGAAUGUCCAUUGGAUAUUUGGACAACGCCCACAUAAAAGUAUGCUGGAAAACACACAUAAAAAUGCAGAUGCAUUUAACACAUUCAGCACCAGAAGGAGUUCGACCGGUCCACAACUGCAUGAAACAAAUCAAUAUCAGCACAAUGAGGUCAGCCUGCUGGAUAUCCAUGAAUGUUUUGUUUACUUUCACCGGCGCUUUCCCCCCAUUUUUUUCUUUACCGCUUUACCCCGCCCCAGACCUUCUUGUACAAUGAUUUAACGAUCUUUGCACACAUGCGUUGUUGACCAAUUCUGGGACUGUUGUGAAAAUUGCAAUUUGAAAACGAACCGCACCAAACCAAAAAAUAAACAUUGUGCUUUGGUCCGGGCCAAAGAGAAGUUGUUGGUAUUACGUUAAGUCAGUGUGGCUCAAAACUGGCUCUCGUCUUUCCCUCUUGACAAUCAAUUGCCCACGUACUCGGCUGUAGUGCUGGUUCCCCCACAUUACAGGCUGUGGGAUUGUAAAUAUUGAACAUGUUUAAUAUUGGAAAAUUGUGAAUUCAAUUUAUUUUUAAUUGGGGAUGCCCCGAUUCUCCUGUAGUGUUUACCAUGUUGUUAUGUCGGCUUGAUAAACCCUGGAGUUGUUGUUUAGCAUAUUCAUUAAUUAUUUAACAUAUCAUGUUUUUUGUCCAAAAAUAAAAUACCAAAUGGAUGUAUGGAAGCGACUGGUCCCAGUACAUCCUGUCUUGGAGACAAACCUCUUCAGCAUCCCGAACAGGAUCUGAU
ensembl:lncRNA